rnacentral:pre_miRNA from 1 species
GGCACAUUGUCGGGCUCGUGGUCAGUAGGUCUGGCAACUCAUUAGACUCAUGUUUGUUUAGGCUCAGCAUACAGCUAAACUCAAUUAUGUUGGGUCUGGUAGCUUGCCAAACUCGCGUCCACUUGGGCUCAACGUGUAGUU